rnacentral:rRNA from 1 species
GAUGAACGCUGGCGGCGUGCCUAAUACAUGCAAGUCGAGCGAAUGGAUUGAGAGCUUGCUCUCAAGAAGUUAGCGGCGGACGGGUGAGUAACACGUGGGUAACCUGCCCAUAAGACUGGGAUAACUCCGGGAAACCGGGCGUAAUACCGGAUAAUAUUUUGUAACUGCAUGGUUCGAAAUUGAAAGGCGGCUUCGGCUGUCACUUAUGGAUGGACCCGCGUCGCAUUAGCUAGUUGGUGAGGUAACGGCUCACCAAGGCAACGAUGCGUAGCCGACCUGAGAGGGUGAUCGGCCACACUGGGACUGAGACACGGCCCAGACUCCUACGGGAGGCAGCAGUAGGGAAUCUUCCGCAAUGGACGAAAGUCUGACGGAGCAACGCCGCGUGAGUGAUGAAGGCUUUCGGGUCGUAAACUACUGUUGUUAGGGAAGAACAAGUGCUAGUUGAAUAAGCUGGCACCUUGACGGUACCUAACCACGAAAGCCACGGCUAACUACGUGCC